rnacentral:pre_miRNA from 1 species
AUGAUACUCCCCCCGUCCGGAAAUACUUGUCUUAGAAAUAGAUGUAUCUAGACUUAUUUUAGUUAUAGAUACAUUCAUUUUAUACAUUUUUAGGACAAGUAUUUCCGAACGGAGGGAGUAUAUG